GACACUUAACUCUACCAGCAAAGGCCACACAUAGUCUUUCAGGUUAAACAGCCAAGAAUCAGUCCUGAGGAUCUAAGACUCGAGUCAUCUUCUUGAAUUUGAAAUGGUGGACGAAGAUGUUGAGACAUCAAAGGUCCAGGGAAGGCCACCAACUCUCUUUCUUCUUUGGGAUCAGAAAAUGGGACUAAAGCCUCCAGUUCCGGAACUCUACAGCUCAAGUUGGACCUCUGGUAGCAAUGAUCAAUCUGCAUAUGAUAUUAAUUUGUCAGCAACAUUCCUCCUGUUUUAAUGGUGCAGUCCUGCAAGGCAUCCUCAGAUGGCUCUUCCAUUGAAAUAUAUAGGACCAGUUCUGAAGAGGAUAGUAAUGCAGUCUCUAUACCCAUGUUAUCUUCAGCCUCUCUGCUAAAAAUCUGUAUGGGUACCAAAUUGUGGUGGAGGGUU